AUACUUACCUGGCAAGGGAGACACCGUGAUCACGAAGGCGGUUCACCCAGGGCGAGGCUCAGCCAUUGCACUCCGGCUGUGCUGACCCCUGCGAAUUUCUCAAAUGUGGAAAUCUCGACUGCGUUC
ensembl:snRNA U1 U1 spliceosomal RNA